rnacentral:rRNA from 1 species
AUUGAACGCUGGCGGCAUGCCUUACACAUGCAAGUCGAACGGCAGCACGGGUGCUUGCACCUGGCGGCGAGUGGCGAACGGGUGAGUAAUACAUCGGAACGUACCUUAUCGUGGGGGAUAACGCAGCGAAAGCUGUGCUAAUACCGCAUACGCCCUGAGGGGGAAAGCGGGGGAUCGCAAGACCUCGCGCGAUUAGAGCGGCCGAUGCCUGAUUAGCUUGUUGGUGGGGUAAAAGCCCACCAAGGCGACGAUCAGUAGCUGGUCUGAGAGGAGGAUCAGCCACACUGGGAGUGAGACACGGCACAGACUGCGACGGGAGGCAGCAGUGGGGAGUUUUGGACAAUGGGGGCAAACCUGGUCCAGCAAUGCCGCGUGGGUGAAGAAGGCCUUCGGGUUGUAAAGCUCUUUUGUCAGGGAAGAAACACCGGCUCUAACACAGUCCGGGAAUGACGGUACCUGAAGAAUAAGCACCGGCUAACUACGUGCCAGCCGCCGCGGUAA